rnacentral:rRNA from 1 species
AGUGAACGCUGGCGGUAGGCCUAACACAUGCAAGUCGAACGGCAGCACAGUAAGAGCUUGCUCUUACGGGUGGCGAGUGGCGGACGGGUGAGGAAUACAUCGGAAUCUACUUUUUCGUGGGGGAUAACGUAGGGAAACUUACGCUAAUACCGCAUACGACCUACGGGUGAAAGCAGGGGAUCUUCGGACCUUGCGCGAUUGAAUGAGCCGAUGUCGGAUUAGCUAGUUGGCGGGGUAAAGGCCCACCAAGGCGACGAUCCGUAGCUGGUCUGAGAGGAUGAUCAGCCACACUGGAACUGAGACACGGUCCAGACUCCUACGGGAGGCAGCAGUGGGGAAUAUUGGACAAUGGGCGCAAGCCUGAUCCAGCCAUACCGCGUGGGUGAAGAAGGCCUUCGGGUUGUAAAGCCCUUUUGUUGGGAAAGAAAAGCAGCAGGUUAAUACCCCGCUGUUCUGACGGUACCCAAAGAAUAAUCACCGCCUAACUUCGUG